rnacentral:rRNA from 1 species
AUUGAACGCUGGCGGCAUGCUUUACACAUGCAAGUCGAACGGUAACAGGCCGCAAGGUGCUGACGAAUGGCGAACGGGUGAGUAAUGCAUCGGAACGUGCCCAGUCGUGGGGGAUAACUACUCGAAAGAGUAGCUAAUAACGCAUACGAUCUAUGGAUGAAAGCGGGGGACCGUAAGGCCUCGCGCGAUUGGAGCGGCCGAUGUCAGAUUAGGUAGUUGGUGGGGUAAAGGCUCACCAAGCCAACGAUCUGUAGCUGGUCUGAGAGGACGACCAGCCACACUGGGACUGAGACACGGCCCAGACUCCUACGGGAGGCAGCAGUGGGGAAUUUUGGACAAUGGGCGCAAGCCUGAUCCAGCAAUGCCGCGUGCAGGAAGAAGGCCUUCGGGUUGUAAACUGCUUUUGUACGGAACGAAACGGCUCUGGUUAAUACCCGGGGCUAAUGACGGUACCGGAAGAAUAAGCACCGGCUAACUACGUG